rnacentral:sRNA from 1 species
UAAUGAAUGAUGAAAAGAGGAAUUGCGCUAACAAUUCCCCUAUUGACAGCACCGCUAAAGACGGUGGCAAAUUUAAUCGUAUUUCAAA